AGCAUUCUCUGGUGUUGAAGGCCCUGCAAAGCAGCAUCGCGGUGGCGGAGCGUCGUUUGCGACGCCCAACACACAAAACAAGCGGUGAAUGCUUUGGGGUGGGGUGACUGCGUACCUUUUGUAUAAUGGGUCAGCGACUUAUAUUCUGUAGCAAGGUUAACCGAAUAGGGGAGCCGGAGGGAAACCGAGUCUUAAUUGGGCGUUAAGUUGCAGGGUAUAGACCCGAAACCCGGUGAUCUAGCCAUGGGCAGGUUGAAGGUUGGGUAACACUAACUGGAGGACCGAACCGACUAAUGUUGAAAAAUUAGCGGAUGACCUGUGGCUGGGGGUGAAAGGCCAAUCAAACCGGGAGAUAGCUGGUUCUCCCCGAAAGCUAUUUAGGUAGCGCCUCGUGAAUUCAUCUCCGGGGGUAGAGCACUGUUUCGGCUAGGGGGCCAUCCCGGCUUACCAACCCGAUGCAAACUGCGAAUACCGGAGAAUGUUAUCACGGGAGACACACGGCGGGUGCUAACGUCCGUCGUGAAGAGGGAAACAACCCAGACCGC
rnacentral:rRNA from 1 species